AACAUCUUUUCUUGUUAGUUUCUGAAGUAUGGCCUGCCCACUGACGUAUCUUGAGUUGAAGGGCCGCGGUAUUUUGACCGUGCAAAGGUAGCAUAGUCAUUAGUUCUUUAAUUGUGAUCUGGUAUGAAUGGCUUGACGAGACAUGGGCUGUCUUGGUAUGGAUUUAUUGUUGAAUUUGGAGUUUAAGUUAAAAUUCUUAGAUGUUUUUAUGGGACGAGAAGACCCUAUAGAGUUUGACAUUUGAUUGCGCAUUCCUUAUUGUUUGUUUUAAAUUUUUGUGUGUCUUUUGUUUUGUUGGGGUGAUGGGAGGAAUUUAUUUAACUCCUCUUUUUAUGUGAUAUAUUGAUUUAUGUUUGGUUUGAUCCAUUUAUUUUGAUUGUAAGAUUAAAUUACCUUAGGGAUAACAGCGUUAUCUUCCCUGAGAGUUCUUAUUGGCGGGGGGGUUUGCGACCUCGAUGUUGGAUUAAGGUUAAUUUUUGGUGUAGGAGCUGAAUUGAUUA
rnacentral:rRNA from 1 species